rnacentral:rRNA from 1 species
ACGCACGCUGGCGGCGUGCUUAACACAUGCCAGUCGAACGGAAAGGCCCUGCUUUUGUGGGGUGCUCGAGUGGCGAACGGGUGAGUAACACGUGAGUAACCUGCCCUUGACUUUGGGAUAACUUCAGGAAACUGGGGCUAAUACCGGAUAGGAGCUCCUGCUGCAUGGUGGGGGUUGGAAAGUUUCGGCGGUUGGGGAUGGACUCGCGGCUUAUCAGCUUGUUGGUGGGGUAGUGGCUUACCAAGGCUUUGACGGGUAGCCGGCCUGGGGGGGUAACCGGCAACAUUGGGACUAGGGACGGACCCAGACUCGAACGGAAGGAAGCGGGGGGAAAAAUGGCAAAAGGGGCGGAGGCCUAAGGAAGAACCGCCGGGGGGGGAAGAAGGGCUUUGGGGUGGAAAACCGCUUCGCCUGUGACGAAGCGUGAGUGACGGUAAUGGGUAAAGAAGCACCGGCUAACUACGUG